rnacentral:rRNA from 1 species
AUUGAACGCUGGCGGCAUGCCUUACACAUGCAAGUCGAACGGCAGCACGGGGCAACCUGGUGGCGAGUGGCGAACGGGUGAGUAAUGCAUCGGAACGUACCUUUCAGUGGGGGAUAACGUAGCGAAAGUUACGCUAAUACCGCAUAUUCUGUGAGCGGGAAAGCAGGGGAUCGCAAGACCUUGCGCUGAUUGAGCGGCCGGUGUCGGAUAAGCUAGUUGGUGAGGUAAAGGCUCACCAAGGCGACGAUCUGUAGCGGGUCUGAGAGGAUGAUCCGCCACACUGGAACUGAGACACGGUCCAGACUCCUACGGGAGGCAGCAGUGGGGAAUUUUGGACAAUGGGGGCAACCCUGAUCCAGCCAUGCCGCGUGAGUGAAGAAGGCCUUCGGGUUGUAAAGCUCUUUCGGCCGGGAAGAAAUCGCACGGGCUAAUACCCUGUGUGGAUGACGGUACCGGAAUAAGAAGCACCGGCUAACUACGCGCCAGCAGCCGCAGUAACAC